CCUACGGGAGGCAGCAGUGAGGAAUAUUGGUCAAUGGACGAGAGUCUGAACCAGCCAAGUAGCGUUAAGGAUGACUGCCCUAUGGGUUGUAAACUUCUUUUAUAUGGGAAUAAAAUGUUCCACGUGUGGGAUUUUGUAUGUACCAUAUGAAUAAGGAUCGGCUAACUCCGUGCCAGCAGCCGCGGUAAUACGGAGGAUCCGAGCGUUAUCCGGAUUUAUUGGGUUUAAAGGGAGCGUAGGUGGAUUGUUAAGUCAGUUGUGAAAGUUUGCGGCUCAACCGUAAAAUUGCAGUUGAAACUGGCAGUCUGGAGUACAGUAGAGGUGGGCGGAAUUCGUGGUGUAGCGGUGAAAUGCUUAGAUAUCACGAAGAACUCCGAUUGCGAAGGCAGCUCACUGGACUGCAACUGACACUGAGGCUCGAAAGUGUGGGUAUCAAACAGGAUUAGAUACCCCUGUAGUC
rnacentral:rRNA from 1 species